UUUAGAAUUUUGUUCUGUAAUAUGGCCAACUCAAAAGCAGCUUUAGCCUUAAGAUAGUGAGAACAAAAAUCAAAGCAGAAUAAAUGCUCCGCAAGUAGCAAGCUGAGCACCCCUAUCAAAUGCCUUUUAACGCCACUGCCCAUAAGCCACCAGCAUUAAUGCAAAGCGUAAACCAUCGUACCACCGUCACCUACAAGCAACAUACACGAGAGGGAUCUCAAUACUCAUCCCGCUAGUGAUGAUCACGACAUCAUCGCGACCAGUGUAGGUAGAUAGGCAUCGAUCGGAGCAAAGAUAACCAGCGCACACAUAGAUCGCGCAAGAUCCUCUCAAGGUUCUCUCGUUAGAUGGAGGGCCGCGAGUUACAAUGAGGUCAUGUGGCCACACAAAUACGAACUAGCAGCGGAGAGACGAUCAGCAUGGUCAAGCAAACUUCGCUCUAACUUCGACAGUCCCCACAGAUCGCUGGAUCGAGUCAGCCGCGAAUAAAUUCGUCAGUGAAGCCUCACCGCGCGUAAUUCAUCAAGUGGACUGCGGUCAGAAUUGCAAGCGAGAACAAAAAAAAAGGGAAGAAGCGACUGUUACUAAAUCCCGUAGUUGGUUGGCGCUUCUGGACCAGCUGCAAUAGUCAGUGUCGAACAUUUGGUCUCGAACCAUUACAGCCGGAAAUUGGUCGACCAUAGGCGAAACGAAGCUGACGAGGCAUCGCUUAGUAGCCGGAAUAGAUCGAUAGACGGUCUUAAACGAGGUGCAUAGGCAUGCAACCACUUGUUCGUCGGCCCAGGGGUGGCAACAUCUAAGGGACUGCGGAGACGAGCCAGUUCGUGCCCUAAAGCUCAGUGAGGACAUUACUUUGCAUCUAGCACCCAGCUGCAUGUGGAUUGAGCGAUACGGAGGAAGAGCGACGCACGCACACAGCAAAACCCCUGAAUAGGGGUUUUUUUUUGUUACAGUGCAUAAUCGUCGCGCAAGACAUUGAAGAUCCCGGCAGCAGUGUGCAAGGUGCAACGGCGGCCCAACGAUUACUUCGAUCACAGUGGCUGUGAGGACUGAGACGGAGCGGUCGGUGAAGUUACUCCCGACGAGGUGAUUGCCUUCAGCAUCGGUUACGACAUCGAGGACUUGCUGUUGCGGAGAAAUUCCACGGCUCCACGGCGUGGACGGUCAGGGAGUGAACAACGUUACUCCAGUGGCGGGUUCAUCUUCAAUCCCAGGGCAGCCUGCCCAAUGCCAGACCGAACUGCAAAGUGUAUGGCAUGGCGACAUGGUGCAUGACUAGAGGCGACAGGCAUGAAUUCCAGCUCGCGAUCAAUGUAUUGUGAGUAAACCCAACGUUAGAUGUAAGCCAUUGAUAGUGAAAUAGUUCAUGUUGCGAUAGAGUUAGGAGAUUAAGAAACUCAUGAGGGAUCAAUAGCUUGUACAUGAGAGUAUGGGUCAUUAAUACAGAUUGUUCAAAAUGA
rnacentral:lncRNA from 1 species